rnacentral:rRNA from 1 species
GUUUUAAAUGUACGGUUAUGGAGGGGAUCUUAUUUUAGAGCCAAAGGGGAAAUAUCCAGCCGUCACAAGAAAAGUCACACACGAUCAGAUCAAGUCAUGUUCACUUGUUAACCAAAAGCCAACACAUCUAGGUCACCGCUUGCAAGAAUAGAUCCAUAUAAGCAGAAAAGCAAAGGAAGAAGCGCCCAUUCCUUUUUGGGAAGGUUCUCACAGCAGAUUAGAGGAAUCACCAAUCCAGGGGAAGUAGGAGGAGGAGGAGGAGGAGAUGGAGGAGAGGGGGAAGGUGGUGUGCAUGGCGAAGCUGGCCGAGCAGGCGGGGAGAUACGAUGAUAUGGUGGAUUUUAUGAAGAAGCUUGCUAGGAUGGAUGUGGAUAUGAGCGUUGAAGAGAGGCAUUUAUUUUCAGUUGGUUUUAAGAAUACAAUUGGUGCAAGGAGGGCAUCAUGGAGAAUCCUUUCUUCACUUGAGCAAAAGGUGGCAGCGGGUGAGCAGGCUGGCCGGAUGAUAAGUGUCUACAGAACGAAAGUUGAGGAUGAACUAAGGAUGGUUUGCAAUGAAAUAUUGUCAAUCAUCGCUAUUCAUUGCCUUCCCUUGGCUAAUGCGGGUGAAAACGUUGUGUUCUUUCAUAAAAUGAAAGGUGACUACUACCGUUACCUGGCUGAAUUUAGCACUGGGGUUGAAAAGAAGUCUGCUGCUGACCAAUCACUCAUGGCCUAUCAGCAUGCCAUGGUUGUUGCCUCCACCGAGCUUUCGCCUGCUCAUCCAAUCAGGCUUGGCCUUGCGCUCAAUUUCUCAGUGUUCUUUUAUGACAUAAUGAACUGUCAUCAGAGAGCUUGCCAAGUUGCAAAACAAGCAUUUGAUGAGGCUACUACUGAGAUUAAUUCCGCUGGUAUGGAUGGCAACAACGAUAGCACACUAAUGAUGCAGCUUCUGAACGACAACCUAGCAUUGUGGAAGUCAGAACUAACUGAAGGUGAAACCUCGAAGGAUAGCGACAUCGAUAUGGAGGAGGGAUAACUGGAAUGUGCUGAAGGCUCCCCUGCAUGCAUGUGUGCAAAAUGACCAGAACAUAAUGGUACCAAACCUGCUGGACACUGUUGGUUUUUGUGACAAUGCGCUGAUACAAUUUUCCGACAUUUUAGCAGGGAUAACUGGAAUGUGCUUCAAGGCUCCCUCCCUAGCACGUAUGUGUGUGAAAUAACCAGAACAUAGUGCUACCAUUGAAAUCGCCCCAAAGUGCCUUGCCUACUGUGCAGCUUGUUAGUAGUUCUGGGGUCCUCGCUUGGUGUUUUCCUAGGCUUUCCACAGUAUGGAUUGGUAACCAUGUGCCCAGCUUUGCUCAUGUUUUGAGAGCUUGGAGCAGUGACCAUCCAUCUUUGAUGCUUUUGUUUCUAGUUUUCCUCCAUGCGUAUUAAGCGUUGCUGUAUACUGGCGAGCUAUAUGUAACUAGUAGUAUCUCAGCUAUCAAUGACGAAAAACUGUCAUUUUUUUCAUUUGAAAUGCUUCAGCC